AUUGAACGCUGGCGGCAGGCCUAACACAUGCAAGUCGAACGAGUGGCGGACGGGUGAGUAAUGUCUGGGAAACUGCCUGAUGGAGGGGGAUAACUACUGGAAACGGUAGCUAAUACCGCAUACCAGCGGAUGUGCCCAGAUGGGAUUAGCUAGUAUGUGGGGUAAAGGCUCACCUAGGCGAAGGUCCCUAGCUGGUCUGAGAGGAUGACAAGCCACACUGGAAAUGUGACACGGUCCAGACUCCUACGGGAGGCAUCAGUGGGGAAUAUGGGACAAUGUUCGCAUGUCUGAUGCAGCCAUGCCGCGUGUAUGAUGAAGGCCUUCGGGUUGUAAAGUACUUUCAGCGGGGAGGCGUUACCCGCAGAAGAAGCACCGGCUAACUCCGUGCCAGCAGCCGCGGUAAUUC
rnacentral:rRNA from 1 species